rnacentral:lncRNA from 1 species
AUAAUAAGCACUAUGUGCCCCCUUUAUCAUCAUCAAAUAUGUCAUGAUUUUGUACCCUUCUACACAGGUGCAGCUGGAGCAUGAAGUCAGUGGAAAUGCAAUGCCUCAAAUCUUGCUAGAAUUCAGUAGCAAAUCUGUCACAGAACUGUUGGAAGUACAUGGAAUCUGGACUGUCACACAGAAAAAGCCUCCAGCUUGCCUGACAAUUUGUAAGAAUGGGUACUUCCAGACUUCCUCUAAACCAACAAAUUUGAGCAGAGACCCUUAGAUUGUGUGUUAAAAACUAAAUGUUUAAUUUGAUUUCAUCUUUAAAGAAAACAUACCUUGUCAUCAGAUGUGACAUGUUCUUUGAAGCUAUUACUUCAGUAAUGUUAAUCUAUCAAUCUUUUUAAAUGAGGCAUGCAUUGUAAAGAGAGGGAUAACUCAUUAAAUGAAAAGCUAUAGCUGCAAGAAAUGGACUGGCUUCUAAUAAGCAAGUUUGUUCUUUUUUUCCAUGCAUUGUAAAAAAGCCCUCUGUGCAAACAUAGGUGCUUCUAUAUCCACCACAACUAUUACUAGUCUUCUUUGGAGUACCUUUGCAAUUAAUUCCAUCUUAACUACUUUUGAGUUAGGAAACUAUUCUAGCUAGUGUUUCUCUCUGAGAUAAAUCUCUGGGAGGAUUUGAAUUAUCAAUUAUCUGUGACCAUAUGGUCAGAAAACAGUUUUUUUUUGUGGUGUUUUGUUAUUUUUUUCAGUUGAUUGACUGUGCAGCUUUUCAAACCCACAGGAUUCUUGAUAUAGCAAGUCAAGCUAUAUGACUUCAUACUAUAUAAAAAAGUAGUAGUCCAUACUGUUUUAGUCAUACUGAUACAAUUCAUCAUAUGCUUAGUUUUAAACUGAGACAUGACUCUUCUUAACAGUUAUCCUGGAAUUAGAAAAGUAUUUUACUUUGCUCCCAGUAUACACAUUAAAAUUUAUGUCUUUAAAAUGUUAGUAGUAUAAUUACAUUUGUACAACCUUUCUGCCUUAUUUCUUUAAUCAAUAAAUCUAGUCUGACCUGUACA